GACGAACGCUGGCGGCGUGCUUAACACAUGCAAGUCGAGCGGUAAGGCCUUUCGGGGUACACGAGCGGCGAACGGGUGAGUAACACGUGGGUGUUCUGCCCUGCACUUCGGGAUAAGCCUGGGAAACUGGGUCUAAUACCGGAUAUGACCUCCUAUCGCAUGGUGGGUGGCGGAAAGAUUUAUCGGUACAGGAUGGGCCCGCGGCCAAUCAGCUUGUUGGUGGGGUAAUGGCCUACCAAGGCGACGACGGGUAGCCGACCUGAGAGGGUGACCGGCCACACUGGGACUGAGACACGGCCCAGACUCCUACGUGAGGCAGCAGUGGGGAAUAUGGCACAAUGGGCGAAAGCCUGAGGCAGCGACGCCGCGUGAGGGAUGACGGCCUUCGGGUUGUAAACCUCUUUCAGCAAGGACGAAGCGCAAGUGACGGUACCUGCAGAAGAAGCACCGGCUAACUACGUG
rnacentral:rRNA from 1 species